rnacentral:rRNA from 1 species
AGGACGAACGCUGGCGGCGUGCUUAACACAUGCAAGUCGAGCGGAAAGGCCCUUCGGGGUACUCGAGCGGCGAACGGGUGAGUAACACGUGAGUAACCUGCCCCUAGCUCUGGGAUAGCUCCGGGAAACCGGAAUUAAUACCAGAUACGACCACUUUAGACAUCUGUCGUGGUGGAAAGGAUUCCGGCUAGGGAUGGGCUCGCGGCCUAUCAGCUUGUUGGUGGGGUAACGGCCUACCAAGGCGACGACGGGUA